rnacentral:rRNA from 1 species
UGGGGAAUAUUGGACAAUGGGCGAAAGCCUGAUCCAGCCAUGCCGCGUGUGUGAAGAAGGUCUUCGGAUUGUAAAGCACUUUAAGUUGGGAGGAAGGGCAGUAAGCGAAUACCUUGCUGUUUUGACGUUACCGACAGAAUAAGCACCGGCUAACUCUGUGCCAGCAGCCGCAGUAAUACAGAGGGUGCAAGCGUUAAUCGGAAUUACUGGGCGUAAAGCGCGCGUAGGUGGUUCGUUAAGUUGAAUGUGAAAGCCCCGGGCUCAACCUGGGAACUGCAUCCAAAACUGGCGAGCUAGAGUAGGGCAGAGGGUGGUGGAAUUUCCUGUGUAGCGGUGAAAUGCGUAGAUAUAGGAAGGAAAACCAGUGGCGAAGGCGACCACCUGGGCUCAUACUGACACUGAGGUGCGAAAGCGUGGGGAGCAAACAGG